GAUGAACGCUGGCGGCGUGCCUAAUACAUGCAAGUCGAGCGAACGGACGAGAGGCUUGCUUUUCUGAUGUUAGCGGCGGACGGGUGAGUAACACGUGGAUAACCUACCUAUAAGACUGGGAUAACUUCGGGAAACCGGAGCUAAUACCGGAUAAUAUUUUGAACCGCAUGGUUCAAAAGUGAAAGACGGUCUUGCUGUCACUUAUAGAUGGAUCCGCGCUGCAUUAGCUAGUUGGUAAGGUAACGGCUUACCAAGGCAACGAUGCAUAGCCGACCUGAGAGGGUGGUCGGCCACACUGGAACGGAGACACGGUCCAGACUCCUACGGGAGGCAGCAGUAGGGAAUCUUCCGCAAUGGGCGAAAGCCUGACGGAGCAACGCCGCGUGAGUGAUGAAGGUCUUCGGAUCGUAAAACUCCGUUAUUAGGGAAGAACAUAUGUGUAAGUAACUGUGCACAUCUUGACGGUACCUAAUCAGAAAGCCACGGCUAACUACGUG
rnacentral:rRNA from 1 species